rfam:Clostridium beijerinckii NCIMB 8052, complete genome.
AUACACAUGUUGAAAAAGAAAAGUAAUUUAUAAGUCAGUUGAAGAGAGAUGAUGUUUGGUGGAAAUCAUUAUUGGUUAUAAAUGAAUGGAGCUUUUGAGUGUGAGGAAAUCGAUGAAGAAAGAUGGGCUUAAGCCAAGAAGGGUGGAACCGCGGAAUUAUAUUUCGUCCCUUUG